UAAACAAAUAUCGAGGGUACAUCAACCUAUGGGCCCCGAGGGACUAGUGAACGACGUAUUUAUCUUACCGAACACCUCAAUGGUAAUUUUGAACUGUUUGAGGCACGAGUAGCGGAUCAUAGUAUGGAGUACCAGAUGACAA